AUUGAACGCUGGCGGCAGGCCUAACACAUGCAAGUCGAACGAGUGGCGGACGGGUGAGUAAUGUCUGGGAAACUGCCCGAUGGAGGGGGAUAACUACUGGAAACGGUAGCUAAUACCGCAUACCAUCGGAUGUGCCCAGAUGGGAUUAGCUAGUAGGUGGGGUAACGGCUCACCUAGGCAACGAUCCCUAGCUGGUCUGAGAGGAUGACCAGCCACACUGGAACUGAGACACGGCCCAGACUCCUACGGGAGGCAGCAGGGGGGAAUAUUGGACAAUGGGCGCAAUCCUGAUACAGCCAUGCCGCGUGUAUGAAGAAGGCCUUCGGGUUGUAAAGUACUUUCAGCGGGGAUGCGUUACCCGCAGAAGAAGCACCGGCUAACUCCGUGCCAGCAGCCGCGGUAAUAC
rnacentral:rRNA from 1 species